rnacentral:rRNA from 1 species
AGGGUGACAGAGGCCGGUAGAAUUCGUGGUGUAGCGGUGAAAUGCAUAGAUAUCACGAAGAAUACCCAUGGCGAAGGCAGCCGGCUGGGUCAUCACUGACGCUGAGGCACGAGAGCGUGGGGAGCAAACAGGAUUAGAUACCCUGGUAGUCCACGCCGUAAACGUUGUAUGCUAGGUGUCGGUCCGCUUUCGGGUGGAUCGGUGCUGCAGUUCACACAUUAAGCAUACCACCUGGGGAGUACGCCGGCAACGGUGAAACUCAAAGGAAUUGACGGGGGCCCGCACAAGCGGUGGAGCAUGUGGCUUAAUUCGAUGCAACGCGAAGAACCUUACCCGGGCUAAAUCAUGCGCGACGUAUCCGGAAACGGGUAUUCCCUUCGGGGCGCGUAUGAAGGUGCUGCAUGGCUGUCGUCAGCUCGUGCCGUGAGGUGUUGGGUUAAGUCUUGCAACGAGCGCAACCCCUAUGGUCAGUUACCAGCGCGUUAUGGCGGGGACUCUGGCUAGACUGCCUGUGCAAACAGUGAGGAAGGUGGGGACGACGUCAAGUCAUCAUGGCCCUUACGUCCGGGGCUGCACACGUGCUACAAUGGGCGGUACAGAGGGCAGCUACUGCGCGAGCAGAUGCCAAUCUCAAAAACCGUCCUCAGUUCGGAUCGGAGUCUGCAACUCGACUCCGUGAAGGUGGAAUCG